CUUCCAGUAGCACCUUAGAGACCAACUAAGUUUGUUACUGGUAUGAGCUUUCAUGUGCAUGCACAGUUCUUCAGAUACUUCAGAUACUGAAGAAGUGUGCAUGCACAUGUAAGCUCAUACCAAUAACAAACUUGGUUGGUCUCUAAGGUGCUACUGGAAG